GCUGGAGGGAAGGGUCCGCCUCCAAGGCGGCCGGCGCCUGCGCCGCGGGGCUCCAGUCAGGACGCGCAUUCUCGCACCCUCCCUCAGCCGCGCGCGCCCGGCGGGCGUGGGAGGAGGCGGGGAACCGGGGAGGGGCGGGUGUCGCAGGAGGGAAGAGCGAACCGGAGAGCGUCGUCCUGAGAGCAGUGAAGGCGGCGAAGUGGCGGACCGCUUCUCCCGCUUCUACGAGGACCGAGACUUCCCGAAUUUCCAAGGAAACUAUAUUUCUUACAUUGAUGGAAAUGUAUGAGAAGCAUACAGUUGGACCAAGAAACUGAUCUUACCUAGCCAUAUGGCCUGCUGCCUCUGCCAAGUUAAAAAUAGCAUUGAGGUUGUCUGCAAGACAGUCAAGCUGCAUUGCAACAAUGGAGAAGCAUCUAUAGGGAAUCCUGAAGGAGCGUUCAUGAAGGUGUUACAAGCCCGGAAGAAGCACACAAGCAUGGAGCUGACUAUUGAGCUGGAGACGCCCUCAGACAGCAACGGGCUCAACUUGUCAGGCUUUGGGAGUGAGCAGCUAGACAUCAAUGAUGAAAGUGAUGUUAUCAGUGCACUAAGAAGAUGUGGAAUCAGUGUUGUUACCGUUCAUUAAACUGCUUUUUUCAGAUUCACAAGAUGGUGACAGGCCCCUGGAUAUUUUGAAAAACAAUACAAAGAGCCCUUCUCUUCAACCUGCAUCCAACAACUCAACUUACCAAAAUAAAUUGAGAAAGCUGUAUUUUCUGAAAAAUAUGUUACAUGCAGAAAUUCAACAAAAAAAAUUGAUGAGGUUAAAAGAGAAGAAAAAACAGCCAUGCUUAUACAGUCCAGCGUUUUAGGUCCCAAAUUUUUAUUUUUUAUUUUUUUAUUUUUAUUUUUUAGACACGGGAUC
rnacentral:lncRNA from 1 species